GAUGAACGCUAGCUACAGGCUUAACACAUGCAAGUCGAGGGGUAACGAGAGGAAAGCUUGCCUUCCUUGUCGACGACCGGCGCACGGGUGAGUAACGCGUAUCCAACCUGCCCCCAACUAAGGAAUAACCUUGCGAAAGUAAGACUAAUACCUUAUAAUUUCCUCAGAUGUCAUCUGACGAGGAAUAAAGAUUUAUCGGUUGUGAUGGGGAUGCGUCUGAUUAGCUUGUUGGCGGGGUAACGGCCCACCAAGGCAACGAUCAGUAGGGGUUCUGAGAGGAAGGUCCCCCACAUUGGAACUGAGACACGGUCCAAACUCCUACGGGAGGCAGCAGUGAGGAAUAUUGGUCAAUGGGCGAAAGCCUGAACCAGCCAAGUAGCGUGCAGGAUGACGGCCCUAUGGGUUGUAAACUGCUUUUAUACAGGAAUAAAGUUAGCCACGUGUGGUUAUUUGUAGGUACUGUAUGAAUAAGGACCGGCUAAUUCCGUGCCAGCCGCCGCAGUAA
rnacentral:rRNA from 1 species